rnacentral:lncRNA from 1 species
UACUUCAGGAUUUUGAUAAAGAGACAUAUAGCAUUGGAAUUGUAAAUCAACCUAAACAAAGUUUUACACAGUUUACGAAUUUUAAUGACGAACAACAAACAUGUUUAUACCCAUUUAUUCAAAUAAGUAAUCCAAUUAAUAAAGGCAUGUCUGGUUCACCAGUAAUUGAUAAACAUGACAAUCUUGUUGGAAUGCUUCAAAAAAAAAUCGACAAUUUUGGGUUAGCUUUACCAGCACAUAUUUUAAAAAAUAUAACAUCACAUCUGCAACAUAAAGGAAAAUAUGAAGAGCCGUUUUUAGGUAUACACUGGAGCAUAAAAAAAAAAAAAAACAAAAAAAAAAAAAAAAAAAAAAAAAAAAAAAAAAAAAAAAAAAAAAACAAAAAAAAAAAACAACAAAAAAAAAAACAACAAAAAAAAAAAAAACAAAGUAACAAAAUAACAGAGUAACAAAAUUUUUGUUUUUUAUUUAUUCCUUUUUUUUGAGAAUAAAUAUAUCUUUUAUAAUUAUGUUCUGUUAUUU